CAGUAGCCGCGGGAAAACGGAGGGUGCAAGCGUUAAUCGGAAUUACUGGGCGUAAAGCGCACGCAGGCGGUCUGACAAGUCAGAUGUGAAAUCCCCGGGCUUAACCUGGGAACUGCAUUUGAAACUGUCAGGCUGGAGUCUUGUAGAGGGGGGUGGAAUUCCAGGUGUAGCGGUGAAAUGCGUAGAGAUCUGGAGGAAUACCGGUGGCGAAGGCGGCCCCCUGGACAAAGACUGACGCUCAGGUGCGAAAGCGUGGGGAGCAAACAGGAUUAGAUACCCGUGUAGUCCCUGUCUCUUAUAC
rnacentral:rRNA from 1 species